UACGUAGGGGGCAAGCGUUGUCCGGAAUCAUUGGGCGUAAAGCGCGCGUAGGCGGCCCGGUAAGUCCGCUGUGAAAGUCAGAGGCUCAACCUUUGAAUGUCAGCGGAUACUGCCGGGCUAGAGUCCGGAAGAGGCGAGUGGAACUCCUGGUGUAGCGGUGGAAUGCGCAGAUAUCAGGAAGAACACCAACGGCGAAGGCAGCUCGCUGGGACGGAACUGACGCUAAGGCGCGAAAGCGUGGGGAGCGAACAGG
rnacentral:rRNA from 1 species